rnacentral:rRNA from 1 species
GAUGAACGCUGGCGGCGUGCUUAACACAUGCAAGUCGAACGAAACACCUUAUUUUAUUUUCUUCGGAACUGAAGAUUUGGUGAUUGAGUGGCGGACGGGUGAGUAACGCGUGGGUAACCUGCCCUGUACAGGGGGAUAACAGUCAGAAAUGACUGCUAAUACCGCAUAAUACCACAGCACCGCAUGGUGCAGGGGUAAAAACUCCGGUGGUACAGGAUGGACCCGCGUCUGAUUAGCUGGUUGGUGAGGUAACGGCUCACCAAGGCGACGAGCAGUAGCCGGCGUGAGAGAGUGAACGGCCACAGUGGGACUGAGACACGGCCCAAACUCCUACGGGAGGCAGCAGUGGGGAAUAUUGCACAAUGGGGGAAACCCUGAUGCAGCGACGCCGCGUGAGUGAAGAAGUAUUUAGGUAUGUAAAGCUCUAUCAGCAGGGAAGAAAAUGACGGUACCUGAAUAAGAAGCCCCGGCUAACUACGUG